AGUUAUAUUUAUAUUUUCUCCUGCAGUCUCUUAUUCACCGUAAUGUGGUUUGUUUUGUCAUUGUUUGAGACAGAUAUCCAACUAACUUGGACUACGUUCAGGUCGUUAAAGCAUUGAUUGUGAAGUACCCUUUCUUAAGGGAUGUACACGGGAAUGGUUAUCAUACCUGGCACAGCCAACUCAAGAGAAAAUUCAAAACAGAACGGGCUCCACUAAUCACCAAUGAGGAAGUAAAACGGGUCAAAGAAAAGUUUCGGCAAGCAAGAUCACUGAAGACCCCAGAAGAAUCUCCAUCCACGUGUCCAAAACGACUGAAGCCAUCUCUAGAAUCAUGCAUUGUGGGGGAGGAUGCAACCUCUGUUGAGGCUCAUAUCAAGGUACUGCUUGAGCAAUACAGAAAGUUGCAUCCCGACAUGAAUCUGGUGAAAGACGGCAUAAUGAAAACCUUUGCAUAGACGCCGAGAAAUAGCAGAAGGAAUGUCAAAAGAUCUGUUGAGGCGAUAUCCAUUCCUAAAAACAUCCGCUGGGUUGUGCGAUGAGGUUGAUGCCAUGCACCCCUCUCCAGUCAACAUAUGCCACCGCAUCAGUGAGAACUUCACAUCUAUUCUCCCAAAUAUGCUGAAACUUGUCAAGGAUUCGCCACUGAAAAAACUAUACAUGGAAGCAAGAGAGGAUGCCUUGGCUGAAGAUA